CGGUGGGUGCCUGAGCCCCCAGCUGGGUGGCCGAGGUGAGCGGGGGAAGAUGGCGGAGUGAGAGGAAGAGGCGGAGGGAGAGGGCCGGCCCCGGCCCGGCGGCCUCGGCCAGGGGCAGGUUCACCUGUGUUCCAUUUUGAGUGCCAAUCAGCAAACUGAAAAGGAAGGGCUCUGGGUGGAAAAUGAUGGCACAGGUGGCCAUGAGAUUAAGGGUCUGUUCCUGGCAUCCUAGAAGAAGUUAUUCUGUUACUUUUGCUUAGA
rnacentral:lncRNA from 1 species